UACGUAGGGACCGAGCGUUGUCCGGAAUCAUUGGGCGUAAAGAGCGUGUAGGCGGCUGACCAAGUCCUGCGUGAAAUCUUGCGGCUCAACCGCAAGCGGUCGUGGGAAACUGGUCGGCUAGAGUGCGGGAGAGGAGAGUGGAAUUCCUGGUGUAGCGGUGAAAUGCGCAGAUAUCAGGAAGAACACCCGUGGCUAAGGCGGCUCUCUAGUACGGUACUGACGCUGAGACGCGAAAGCGUGGGGAGCGAACAGG
rnacentral:rRNA from 1 species